UACGGAGGGGGCUAGCGUUGUUCGGAAUCACUGGGCGUAAAGCGCACGUAGGCGGACUCUUAAGUCGGUGGUGAAAUCCUGGAGCUCAACUCCAGAACUGCCUUCGAUACUGAGAGUCUCGAGUCCGGGAGAGGUGAGUGGAACUGCGAGUGUAGAGGUGAAAUUCGUAGAUAUUCGCAAGAACACCAGUGGCGAAGGCGGCUCACUGGCCCGAUACUGACGCUGAGGUGCGAAAGCGUGGGGAGCAAACAGG
rnacentral:rRNA from 1 species